rnacentral:rRNA from 1 species
GAUGAACGCUGGCGGCGUGCCUAAUACAUGCAAGUCGAGCGAACGGACGAGAAGCUUGCUUCUCUGAUGUUAGCGGCGGACGGGUGAGUAACACGUGGAUAACCUACCUAUAAGACUGGGAUAACUUCGGGAAACCGGAGCUAAUACCGGAUAAUAUUUUGAACCGCAUGGUUCAAAAGUGAAAGACGGUCUUGCUGUCACUUAUAGAUGGAUCCGCGCUGCAUUAGCUAGUUGGUAAGGUAACGGCUUACCAAGGCAACGAUGCAUAGCCGACCUGAGAGGGUGAUCGGCCACACUGGAACUGAGACACGGUCCAGACUCCUACGGGAGGCAGCAGUAGGGAAUCUUCCGCAAUGGGCGAAAGCCUGACGGAGCAACGCCGCGUGAGUGAUGAAGGUCUUCGGAUCGUAAAACUCUGUUAUUAGGGAAGAACAUAUGUGUAAGUAACUGUGCACAUCUUGACGGUACCUAAUCAGAAAGCCACGGCUAACUAAG